GUGGGGAAUAUUGCACAAUGGGGGAAACCCUGAUGCAGCGACGCCGCGUGAGUGAAGAAGUAUCUCGGUAUGUAAAGCUCUAUCAGCAGGGAAGAAAAUGACGGUACCUGACUAAGAAGCCCCGGCUAACUACGUGCCAGCAGCCGCGGUAAUACGUAGGGGGCAAGCGUUAUCCGGAAUUACUGGGUGUAAAGGGUGCGUAGGUGGUAUGGCAAGUCAGAAGUGAAAACCCGGGGCUUAACUCCGGGACUGCUUUUGAAACUGUCAGACUGGAGUGCAGGAGAGGUAAGCGGAAUUCCUAGUGUAGCGGUGAAAUGCGUAGAUAUUAGGAGGAACAUCAGUGGCGAAGGCGGCUUACUGGACUGAAACUGACACUGAGGCACGAAAGCGUGGGGAGCAAACAGGAUUAGAAACCCUAGUAGUCCC
rnacentral:rRNA from 1 species